AACGAACGCUGGCGGCAGGCCUCAUACAUGCAAGUCGAGCGAUUAAGACUCCUUCGGGAGUGUAUAAAGCGGCGAACGGGUGAGUAACAGGUGGAUGAUCUACCUUCCGGUGGGGGAUAACGGCUGGAAACGGCCGCUAAUACCGCAUUCGGUUAAUACGCUGCGGCGUAUUAAAGAAAGGCGCUUCAAAGCGCCGCCGGGAGAUGAGUCCGCCCCCCAUUAGCUAGUUGGUGAGAUAACAGCUCACCAAGGCAACGAUGGGUAGCCGAACUGAGAGGGUGAUCGGCCACACUGGGACUGAGACACGGCCCAGACUCCUACGGGAGGCAGCAGUGGGGAAUAUUGCACAAUGGGCGAAAGCCUGAUGCAGCGACGCCGCGUGAGGGAUGACGGCCUCGGUUGUAACGUACUUCUAGCAGGAGAAGCGAAGUAGACGGUAACCGUGCAGAAGAAGCACCGGCGUAACUAACGUGCCACGCAGCCGCCGGUAAGUCAUACUCGUAC
rnacentral:rRNA from 1 species